rnacentral:lncRNA from 1 species
UAAAGUAAAGGUGAGUGUCAACUGAAUUAUUGAUAUUAUUGUAUUGUAUAAAUUGCUCUUGCAACUCCUUAAAAGCAGGAGGUAAAAUCAUAGCAGUUGAUUCCCACACAAAAUACCAGUUUUGAAACCAAGUGGGGAACCUUUCAAAAAUUGGUAGCCGGAACUGUAAAUACCAGCUAUGAGUAUUAUUAGGGUUUUGAUAAUAGAAAAAUUUGUGCCAAGCUUCUAUGUACUCAGCAUAUUUGAAAUACUUAUAAGAAAAUUCAGGAUUUU